CCUGUAGCACAAAGGAUAGCGCGUUGGGCUUCUAAUCCAAAGGUCGUGGUUUCGAAACCAACCUGAAGGG
rnacentral:tRNA from 1 species